GAUGAACGCUAGCGGCAGGCCUAAUACAUGCAAGUCGAACGGUGUCUUCGGACAUAGUGGCGCACGGGUGCGUAACACGUAUGCAACCUACCUUACAUUGGGGGAUAGCCUUUCGAAAGGGAGAUUAAUACCGCAUAAGACAGUAGCUGGGCAUCCAGCAGCUGUUAAAGAUUUAUCGAUGUAAGCUGGGCAUGCGUCCAAUUAGCUAGUUGGUGAGGUAACGGCUCACCAAGGCAAUGAUUGGUAGGGGAACUGAGAGGUCAAUCCCCCACAAUGGCACUGAGAUACGAGCCAGACUCCUACGGGAGGCAGCAGUAGGGAAUAUUGGGCAAUGGACGCAAGUCUGACCCAGCCAUGCCGCGUGCAGGAUGAAGGCGUUAUGCGUUGUAAACUGCUUUUAUACAGGAAGAAACGACUCUUGCGAGAGGCAUUGACGGUACUGUAUGAAUAAGCACCGGCUAACUCCGUGCCAGCCGCCGCGGUAAAAC
rnacentral:rRNA from 1 species